rnacentral:misc_RNA from 1 species
GGGAAUACAUAAAAGUGAAUCAUCUUGAGGACCCUUUGAACCCGAUGGCAGUUUUGUGCGAUGUAAAACUCCGAGAACUGUUUGGUUGUGAAAGCAUUUCUGCAUUGGGAAUCCCAGAAGUUUUAGGCCGCCACCAUAUAUUUAGGAGAUCAUGAUAGCUAAUCUUCUAGGAUGUUGCGGAUCGAAUGGUGUUAGCGACUUACAUAUUGGGGCAGUGUUUG